AGCGAACGCUGGCGGUAGGCCUAACACAUGCAAGUCGAACGACACCACAGUAAGAGCUUGCUCUUACGGGAGGCGAGUGUCGGAAGGGGGCGGUAGACAUCGGAAUAUACUUUUUCGUGGGGGCUAACGCCGGGAAAGUUACGCUAAUACCGCAUACGACCUACGUGUGAAAGCCGGGGAUCUUCGGACCUUGCGCGAGUGAUUGUGCCGCUGUCGGAUUAGCUAGUGGGCGGGGUAAAGGCCCACCAAGGCGACGAUCGGUAGCUCGCCUGAGCGGAUGAUCAGGCACACUGGAUCAGAGACAGGGUACAGACUCCUGGAGGAGGCAGCAGUGGGGAAUAUUGGACAAGGGGCGCAAGCCUGAUCCAGCCAUACCGGGUGAGUGAAGAAGGCCUUCGGGUUGGAAAGCCAUUUUGGUGGUAAGGAAAAGCAGCUCUUUAAUCCCCCACUGUUCUGACGGUACCCAAAGAAUAAGCCCCGGCUAACUUCGUG
rnacentral:rRNA from 1 species